GGACUCGUGGUCUAGGGGUUAUGACGUCGCCUUCACACGGCGAAGGUCGCCGGUUCAAAUCCGGCCGAGUCCACCA
rnacentral:tRNA from 1 species